ACCACAAAGCUAGCCAAAAUAAAUUAACUAACAUCCAAUUAUUUCCUAACACAACCCUAACCAUCCAACCCACCUUAAAACAUUUUGCCCUUCUUAGUAUAGGCGAUAGAACAGAACCUUUGAGCUAUAGAAACUAGUACCGCAAGGGAAAGCUGAAAAAGAAAUGAAAUAACCACUAAAGUACAAAAAAGUAGAGAUCAGCCCUCGUACCUUUUGCAUCAUGAUUUAGCAAGAACAACUAGGCAAGAAGAUUUCCCAGUCUAACCUCCCGAAACUAAAUGAGCUACUUCGAAGCAGCAUAUUAGAGCCAACCCACCUCUGUGGCAAAAGAGGGGGAAGACUUCCAAGUAGCGGUGACAAGCCUACCGAAUUUAGUGAUAGCUGGUUACCCAAAAAAAGAAUCUAAGUUCUGCAUUAAUUUUUCAAUCAAGUCAACCAAAGUCUUUUUAUCAAAUCAACUGUAAAAAUUAAUAGUUAUUCAAAAAAGGUACAGCUUUUUUGAACUAAGAAACAACUUUUAUAGGAGGGUAAUGAUUAUAAUCUCCAAGGAGUUACUCUCAGUGGGCCUGGAAGCAGCCAUCUGUAAAGCAAGCGUUACAGCUCAAACUAAUAAAACACCAACAAAUUCCUAUAUUUAAUUCCCAACCCCCUAAGAUCUAUUGGGUUAUUUUAUAAACUCUAUAAAAGAAAUUAUGCUAAAAUGAGUAAUAAGGGGACAAACCCCUCCAACAACACCAGUGUAAGUCAGAAAGAAUUAAAUCGCUGAUAAUUAACCGAUGUCAGAAUUGAGACGCUUAUGGUAUAAAAAUACUAACAAGAAAACCCCGUUCAAACAAUCGUUAACCCUACACAGGAGUGUUCAAAGGAAAGAUUAAAAGAAAAUAAAGGAACUCGGCAAACACAAACUCCGCCUGUUUACCAAAAACAUCGCCUCUUGCCCCAUAUGUAUAAGAGGUCCCGCCUGCCCUGUGAUAUUUUUUAACGGCCGCGGUAUCUUGACCGUGCGAAGGUAGCGUAAUCAACUGUCUUUUAAUUGAAGGCCUGUAUGAAAGGCAUUACGAGAGUUUAUCUGUCUUUAUUUUCCAAUCAAUGAAAUUAAUCUCCUCGUGCAGAAGCGGGGAUAUAAACAUAAGACGAGAAGACCCUAUGGAGCUUCAAACACUUAAGUUACUUCUAAACAUAAACACCCCACCUUCGGGUACAACACUAAACAAGAAGCCUGACUUAACUUGUUUUUGGUUGGGGCGACCAAGGAGAAAAACAAAACCUCCUUAUCGAGUGUGUGAUCACUCACUCAAAAAUUAGAACCACCAUUCUAAUUAAUAGAAAAAUCUAACGAACAAUGACCCAGGGAACCCUCCCUGAUCAAUGGACCAAGUUACCCUAGGGAUAACAGCGCAAUCCUUUCCAAGAGCCCUCAUCACCGAAAGGGUUUACGACCUCGAUGUUGGAUCAGGACAUCCUAAUGGUGUAGCAGCUAUCAAGGGUUCGUUUGUUCAACGAUUAAAGUCCUAUGUGAUCUGAGUUCAGACCGGAGUAAUCCAGGUCAGUUUCUAUCUAUGAUGGUAUUCUUCCUAGUACGAAAGGACCGGAAAAAUGAAGCCCAUGCUAAAGGUAUGCUUCAGCCUAACCUGUUGAAACCAACUCAAACAGAUAAAGACCACCACACUUAUGCCAAAGAUAAUGGUUUU
rnacentral:rRNA from 1 species